rnacentral:rRNA from 1 species
GCGGAGGGAUCAUUACCGAGUUUACAACUCCCAAACCCCUGUGAACAUACCAAUUGUUGCCUCGGCGGAUCAGCCCGCUCCCGGUAAAACGGGACGGCCCGCCAGAGGACCCCUAAACUCUGUUUCUAUAUGUAACUUCUGAGUAAAACCAUAAAUAAAUCAAAACUUUCAACAACGGAUCUCUUGGUUCUGGCAUCGAUGAAGAACGCAGCAAAAUGCGAUAAGUAAUGUGAAUUGCAGAAUUCAGUGAAUCAUCGAAUCUUUGAACGCACAUUGCGCCCGCCAGUAUUCUGGCGGGCAUGCCUGUUCGAGCGUCAUUUCAACCCUCAAGCCCAGCUUGGUGUUGGGACUCGCGAGUCAAAUCGCGUUCCCCAAAUUGAUUGGCGGUCACGUCGAGCUUCCAUAGCGUAGUAGUAAAACCCUCGUUACUGGUAAUCGUCGCGGCCACGCCGUUAAACCCCAACUUCUGAAUGUUGACCUCGGAUCAG